GAAUCCCAGUGAAUAUAUUGCCACCAUCUUGGAGCUCAGUGCCCUCAUAGUGUAAGAGCACCAGCAGAUCUGCCUGUGCACAGACUUCCUGUACUACCUCACUCCUGAGGGGAGAUGCUUCUGCAGGGCCUGCGACCUGGGGCACAACUUUAGACACCAUCAUCCUGGAGCGGCACUGCACCCUCACUAGCCAGGGUGUUGAUGACUUCCUCAAUGCCAAGGCCACGUUCAAGAUUUUCGACUUCAGUGAUGCGUUUGUGCUGAGCAAGGAUGAAAAUAAGGAGGAGUUGUCAGACAAGGACAUAUACAUGGAGGCUGGCAUCUUCGUGAGUGCCAAUCGAUAUGACAGCACAGCCAGUGGCCUCUACUGGAUCCUGGUACCCCUCAGAAGACACCCAGACACUGGGAGUGCUGCCACCUCGUGGUGCAAGAGUUCUGAGGGAUGGCAAUUCUGAAGACAUUUAAUGGUGGGUGCCAGGCCUCAUGGCUGUUCCCCAGCCCCUCUCAUUGGCUCUGCUCCAGGUGGAGAAGGGGGAUGAUGUCUCUGUC
rnacentral:lncRNA from 1 species